AGAAUCAACGCUGGCGGCGUGCCUAACACAUGCAAGUCGCACGAGAAAGGGGCUUCGGCUCUGAGUAAAGUGGCGCACGGGUGAGUAACACGUGAAUAAUCUACCUCCGAGUGGGGAAUAACUGAGAGAAAUCUUAGCUAAUACCGCAUAACACUUACGAGUCAAAGCAGCAAUGCGCUUGGAGAGGAGUUCGCGGCCGAUUAGUUAGUUGGCGGGGUAAUGGCCCACCAAGACGAUGAUCGGUAUCCGGCCUGAGAGGGCGCACGGACACACUGGAACUGAAACACGGUCCAGACUCCUACGGGAGGCAGCAGUGGGGGAAUUUUGCGCAAUGGGGGAAACCCUGACGCAGCAACGCCGCGUGGAGGAUGAAAUAUCUUGGUAUGUAAACUCCUUUCGAUGGGGAAGAUAAUGACGGUACCCAUAGAAGAAGCCCGGCUAACUUCGUGCCAGCAGCCGGGC
rnacentral:rRNA from 1 species